UACGGAGGGUGCGAGCGUUGUCCGGAAUCACUGGGCGUAAAGGGCGCGUAGGCGGCCUGGCAAGUCGAUGGUGAAAGCCCGAGGCUCAACUUCGGGUCGGCCACUGAUACUGCUGGGCUUGAGUCGACUAGAGGCAGAUGGAAUUCCGGGUGUAGCGGUGGAAUGCGUAGAGAUCCGGAAGAACACCAGUGGCGAAGGCGACUUCUUGGCCUGUUCUUGACGCUGAGGCGCGAAAGCUGGGGGAGCAAACGGG
rnacentral:rRNA from 1 species